GAUAAAUGUAUUUGUAGUAAGUAAAGAAUAAUAAAAGAUGCUCUUAUAUGGGAUAAUAUAAUAUUGAGUAUGGAAGUUGUACGAUUAUGUGUAAGAUCGUUUUCAGUAGUAAAAGUCCAGGAGAACAGCGCAACGUGGGUUAUUAAGAAAAAAGGAAACGACGAAAGGCAAAAGACUACCUCGGUCGUAGUAAGCAAAAGAAGGAAAAUCGUGCCAGGGGAGACUGGAUGAGGGACAGAAAGAGAAAGAGAAAGAGUAAGAGAGAAAGUGAGAAAAGGGAUAGUAAGAGGAAAGAGAAGCCAGCACAAGGAAGGAUAAAGUUUCGCUUUACUCACAUUAUUUCCGCCAGGAAACGCGUUUUCGCGUUAUAUCCACUGUCGUUUCUUUAUACGUUUGAGUUGUUUCACAGCUGCGGUGUUGGUCCUCGCUUUUACAGGCCUUCAUCUUUUUUUUUCUUUCUUUUUUUCUCUUUCUCUCUAUCUUUCCCUCUCUUUCUCUCUUUCUUUAUUUUACUCUUUCUAUUUCACCCUCUUACACUAUCUUUCUUUUUAUUUUUUACUGUAAAUUGAUCCCCCUUGGCAAUCUCGUGUCUUUUUUCUCGCACGAGGAAAUAAGACAGAGGGAUGAACGUGCUGACGUCGACAAGAGGAAAGACUUCGACGUGUAGAGAAUUAAAAGUCCAACUAUUCAGAAGGACGAAUUAAGUAAAUGUGCAAGUGUUAUACAAUCAACCGUUGGAGAUAUUAAUUAUUGCAAUAUAUUAAUUGAACGUUUUUUUCUCACUUUUUAUUAGAGCUAAUAUUUUAUUUUUGUAGGUAUUGUGGCUGUGACUUUUUAUUAAUUCAUUUAAUAAUCGUUUAUUGACCGAAAUCGAUAAAUCCAAUACUUUGUCAUUAAAAUUAUUUGACUAUUUUUUCAUUAUAGCAAACAACGAUUGAACGAAAUUCGAUUAAGAUUUUUAUCAGAAGGAUUUCGAAAUUUUUGAUUAUUUCUAAAUUGCGAGAAAAUAAGUAAGUGUAAAAGUAAGACAGUAAUAUUAAAAAGUCGAAGUUACAAUCUUCUACAAAUCAGUUUUUCUUCCUCAAAAAAAAAAAAAGAACGUAGGUAUCCAUCGUAAUAAUCUUUAGAUAAGAUAAAAGAAAUCAGUUCUGCAAUGGAAGCUUAGUUAUAUCCUUCCUACUAUAAUUGUAACUUUACUAUCUUACGUAAAUUUUACAACCCUUGAUUUCCAUGCAUAAACACGAGAGGAAAAAGUCGUACUUUAAAAAACUUCUCGAUUUUUCGAAUUACAAUGUCUGCUAAGGGUUAAAAUAGUCAAUUCAAUUGGUUCUUCUCAUCUUAUAUACGAUAAAUAAAACCCGCAAGACAUCGAGAUAAAUCAGAUUAGCAUCGAAUCUUUAAAU